rnacentral:rRNA from 1 species
AAUCAACGCUGGCGGCGUGCCUCAGACAUGCAAGUCGAACGAUUAAAGCUCUCUUCGGAGAGUGCAUAAAGUGGCGCACGGGUGAGUAGCACGUAAGUAAUCUACCCUCGAGUGGGGAAUAACAGUCGGAAACGACUGCUAAUACCGCAUAAUGCAGCGGCACCGCAAGGUGACAGUUGUUAAAGAUUUAUUGCUUGAGGAGGAGCUUGCGGCAGAUUAGCUUGUUGGUAAGGUAACGGCUUACCAAGGCUACGAUCUGUAUCCGGUCUAAGAGGACGGUCGGACACACUGACACUGAACAACGGGUCAGACUCCUACGGGAGGCAGCAGUCGGGAAUUUUGGGCAAUGGGGGAAACCCUGACCCAGCAACGCCGCGUGAAGGAUGAAGUA